CCUACGGGAGGCAGCAGUGAGGAAUAUUGGUCAAUGGACGAGAGUCUGAACCAGCCAAGUAGCGUGAAGGAUGACUGCCCUAUGGGUUGUAAACUUCUUUUAUAAAGGAAUAAAACGAGGCACGUGUGCCUUUUUGCAUGUACUUUAUGAAUAAGGAUCGGCUAACUCCGUGCCAGCAGCCGCGGUAAUACGGAGGAUCCGAGCGUUAUCCGGAUUUAGUGGGUUUAAAGGGAGCGUAGAUGGUUUGUUAAGUCAGUUGUGAAAGUUUGCGGCUUAACCGUAAAAUUGCAAUUGAUACUGGCAGUCUUGAGUACAGUUGAGGUAGGCGGAAUUCGUGGUGUAGCGGUGAAAUGCUUAGAUAUCACGAAGAACCCCGAUUGCGAAGGCAGCUUACUAAACUGUGACUGACAUUGAUGCUCGAAAGUGUGGGUAUCAAACAGGAUUAGAUACCCUAGUAGUC
rnacentral:rRNA from 1 species